CUGGACGAGCACGCCGCGUGGGCGAUGAAGUCUUUCGGGAUGUAAAGCCCUUUUCCCUGGGAAGAAAGAAAGACGGUACCAGGGGAAUAAGCAUCGGCUAACUACGUGCCAGCAGCCGCGGUAAUACGUAGGAUGCAAGCGUUGUCCGGAAUUAUUGGGCGUAAAGAGCGCGCAGGCGGUUUUUCAAGUCAGAUGUGAAAUAUCCGGGCUUAACCCGGAGGGGUCAUUUGAAACUGGGUGACUAAAGUACAGCAGAGGAUAGCGGAAUUCCCGGUGUAGUGGUGAAAUGCGUAAAUAUCGGGAGGAACACCAGUGGCGAAGGCGGCUAUCUGGGCUGAAACUGACGCUGAGGCGCGAAGGCUAGGGGAGCAAACAGGAUUAGAUACCCUGGUAGUCCUAGCAGUAAACGAUGGAUACUAGGUGUUGGGGGAAAUUGACCCCCUCAGUGCCGCAGUUAACACAAUAAGUAUCCCGCCUGGGGAGUACGGUCGCAAGAUUAAAACUCAAAGGAAUUGACGGGAA
rnacentral:rRNA from 1 species